UGCGUGUGGACAACUUGUUGCUGGUAGAGGUGAGUGUCAAAAUCCUUGUUAAUCUUAAGUUUUUCUUAAAUUACCGAUUUUAAUUUAUUAUGAGUGUGAGGACUAAUCAAUGGGCUGCUUACACAGGCAGUUAUUUUUAAUAAAAUAGCUUUAUUGUAGGAGGUAUUGAUGUCGCCAUUUUUAGGUUAGGAUUUAUAUCUUGGGGUAAAUGCAUCUCGCCGUUACGAGGUAAUUGCGACUGUGGGACGCAUUUUCCUCAAAACAUAAAUCGUCAACCUUUUUGUGCUAGCAUUUAAUAUAUAAAAAUUGUAUUUCAGAUAAAGAGUUUAUACUUACCAUGGUGAUUUUGAAAUACAUGGACAUUGACAAAUACUUAACUAAAUACGAUUUUCAAAACUUUAUACAACAAAGACUUGUAUGGCCAUGGCAGAAUACUCAUUUUAAUUUGUCAACCAAGUGUUUCGGAUGUGGAGAGCCAACAAACGUUAUAUCCAGUAUGCCCCAUCAUUUUAUUAUGAAUGAGAUAAUAGUUCAACAUGCACGAGUAUUGCUAGCAAGCUCAUUUUUCUGGUGUCCUUUUUGUUCCAUUUUUACUAUUUACGAACAUUAUCCCGAAGAUGAAUGCGGGUAUUGCCAUGCAAAUAAUUUGAUUUGAUAAUAAGGUAAUUUCACUGCAUGACAUAAUCGCCUUUUACGUGUAUACAAAAUCCUUAUUCACAUCAAUUUUAUUUCAUUCAUUUCAGAUUUAAGAUAUUUAUCAAAAUGGUACGUAACUACAGAAAAAAAACACAACCUACGUACACUUUAGAUACUUUACUUUAAAUAUAGCCGUCAAAGAAGUAAGAGAUGGAAUUUUAAAUUCAUAUCAAGCUUCAAAACAAUAUAAUAUACCGCGGACAACUAUAGUAGACAGAGUUAAACUUAGAAGAGGUGUCGUUAAAGAAACUAGAGGCAGGCCAACAGCCAUAAAUGUCAAAUUUGAGAAAAGAAUAGCUACCUCGCUCCACAUUAUGGAAAAGAACGGGUUCGGUCUGUCCUCUGAGGAAGUUAUAAAACUUGUAACGCAAUACGUUGAAAAAAAUAAACUAACGACACCCUUCAAGGAGGGAGCCCCGGGUUAUGAGUGGUUUUCUGGCUUUCGGAAAAGAAAUAACUUAUCUCUAAAAAAACCACAAGCGGUAGAGAUGUCACGAAAAGCCGCAUGUGACCCGUUCAUAAUCAAGGACUACUUCGACACACUUGAAGAGUAUAUAAAAACAAUGGAUUUACAAUAUAGUCCAGAUAGAAUAUGGAAUCUCGACGAAUCUAGUUUCAGCAAGGACCCAGAAAAGACCAAAAUUGUUGGGGCAAAAGGCUAUGCGAGUACCAGAACAAUUGCUUCGGCGGGAAAAGAUAAUGUGACUGUAUUGUUUACAGUUAACGCAGCAGGUGAAAAAUUGCCACCAUUAAUCAUAUACCGUGGCAAAAAUAUAUGGGACCAAUGGAUGUCUCAAAAUGCUUAUGAAGGUACUUGUUAUGCGGCCACAAAGAAUGGGUGGAUAGACGCUAAAGUUUUUGAGAAAUACAUGUUGGGGACAGUCUUGCCUCAUGUAAGUAAAGAGUCACCUUGUUUAAUAAUAUACGACGGCCAUUCCACGCAUAUUCAAUUACAUGUAUUAGAGAAAGCAAAAGAAUUGGGCGUUGAAAUUAUAAAACUGCCAUCACACGCGAGCCAUCUGUUACAACCUUUAGAUUUAGCGGUAUUUAAAUCUAUGAAAGUUAGGUGGGAUGCUAAAAUAUUGGCAUGGCAACGGUUAAACGUAGGAGCCAAGAUGCAAAAACACAAUUUCAGUGAAAUCCUCGGGGAAGUCUGGAAAGAGUUAGAUCCCAAAAUAAUACGAAAUGGAUUUAAAAAAGGCGGCAUAUUCCCCCUAAAUAAAGACGUAAUACCUGUUGAAAAAUACGACGCACAGGCUUUUAAAAGAUUCAAUGAAGCCAAAAUAAAACAAGUUCCAACGUUAUACAGUUUAUGUUCACGACAAAUAAUAAAGACCAUUAAUAAGAAAUGUACCUCAACAAUUGACAACCACAAAAAUAAUAUUAUUUUCCAUCCCAAUGAGAUACAGUUACCUGGUACAAGUCAAGGAACACCAAAAAUUGAGAUUUUGGAAGACCGGUAUCUGAAUAAUGAAGAACUAGUAUCCUUUGAAAGUUUGUUACUUAACACGAUAAAAAAAGCUGACCCGACAUAUAAAAUUAAGAAAAGAAAGGUAGUUCAAGGAAGUGAAGUAAUUACACACGAUGAUUUUUUGAAUAGAUUGCGGAAAAAUGAGGCUGAAAAACAAAAAAAAGAAGAAGAAAAAAGAGAACGAAAAUCUAAAUCAGAGGCGAAGAAAAAUAUAAAAUCUAAACAGAAAUUACCUAUGCCUACGACUAUAAAAAAAUGUCAGAAGAAAAUACCGAAAAAGAUACCGAAAUAUUCAUCGGACGAAAGCAGUGAAAGUGAUAAUAUAAUACUUAGCAGCGACUCUGAUACAAGCGAAAACUGGGGAACAUAUUGUCAUAAGAUAAUCCAACAAGUUGAAGAAGAAAGUAAUAUAAGUGAUCAUACAUCCACUGAACUAGGACUUACAUCUAUACAAUGUCAUAAAAUACAGCCAGAUAAGGACCAUAUCACUAAUGAUGAAUAUGAACCAGAUUCCAGUCAAAGGCAUCCACAAGUUGGUGACUGGAUUAUUGUAAAAUUCGCAACAAAGAAAACCGUGAAACACUUUAUCGGAAAUGUAAUCUCAUUGAAUCAUGGCCAUCCUCAGGUUAAGUAUUUGAGAAAAAUUAAAAAUAGUAAGAUUGUAUCCUUUCAUUACCCUGACGUUGAGGACGUAUCUGAACUCAUACAUGACAUUGACAUUGUUAAGUUUCUUGAAAACCCCCUAAUAACACGAAGAGGACACGUAGUUUUCAAAGAAAAAUUUGAAGGAUUCAAUAUUCAGUAGAGUAUAGAAAAUGUAUUGUUGAUUUUUCUGAUCAGUAAGACUGAAUUACAUAGUAUUAUGUAAUGACAAUUGUAUUUAAAAGUUAAAAUACUCAGUAUUAGAUACCAUAUUUUUAUGUGAUUAUUUGUUGAAUACUGUGGUUGAAUAAUAUGACACUACUUAAGUACGAAGAUUUUUGUUCUGUUAAUUUGUCUUAAGAAAUUUUAUGUCGAUUAAUCUUGUUAUUUAAUUGUUUAAGCAUGAAAACUUGUAUACGCUAUCUAAGUAUAAGUACAUUUUCUAGAGUAGGUUAGCUUAAGUCAUUAGUUACCGAAUGAUCUGAUAUUUCUGGUCAAAUAUACAAGACUGAACUUUGUUAUAAUAUGUCACAUAGUGACUGAUUUUAAGUUGGAGUAUGGAGAGAUGUCGAUUACUGUUAAUUAGUAUGAUUAAGCUAAUUAUAUAAAGUUUCAGUAUAUCCUUAAGUUUAUUCUAAUAAUCUUAUCUGAUAUUGCUGGUCAAAUUUUGCAAGACUGAAUUUCUUUAUAAUAUGUCACAUAGUGACUGACUGGAAGUUAGAAUAUAACGUUGGUGUGUGGACAGAUGUUGAUUACUGUUAAUUAGUGUGAUUAAGCUAAUUAUGUUAAAUUUCAUUAUAACAAAAGUUUACUUUUCUAAAGAAUAUUUUUGCUGUAAUAAGCAUCUUUUCGACUAAUAUUUUACAAUUAUGAAGGCGUUGUUAAGUCAAAACAUGCCAUUUUUUAUUUACUGGAUAAUAAGUUCAGAAUAGUUUUCCUUUGGCAGGAUUUUUGUAUAGAUUUUUGUUCCCAGUACCGAAAAUUUGAUUUUGAAAAUUAAGAACAACGCAUUUAUAAAAAGUUGGCUCUUAUUUUAAUUUUUUAUAAUAAAAAUUGUAUAAUGUAAUGCAGAUUUUUUUAUUUACAAUUCUUACCACUAUUAAAAUCUCAUAGGUUUCUACUACCUACAAGUAAGUACAUGCAAAUAGGUGGUCCGAGAGGGGGCAAGUUUUAUGAGUAAAAUGUUGACAACAUCUGGAUUUAGCACGAGGCAAAUGCGUCUAUAAAAAACUAGGCGCAUUUCCCCCCGACCUUACCAAAUCUUCU